GGGUUGUAAACUUCUUUUCUCGAAGAAGAAAAAAAUGACGGUAUUCGAGGAAUAAGCAUCGGCUAACUCUGUGCCAGCAGCCGCGGUAAGACAGAGGAUGCAAGUGUUAUUCGGAAUGAUUGGGCGUAAAGAGUCUGUAGGCGGUUUAGAAAGUCUUUUGUGAAAUACUUCAGCUCAACUGAGGCUCCGCAAAAGAAACUUCUAGACUUGAGGAAAGUAGAGGUACAGGGAAUUUCCGGUGGAGCGGUGAAAUGCGUAGAUAUCGGAAGGAACACCAAUAUGGCGAAGGCACUGUACUGGGCUUUUCCUGACGCUCAGAGACGAAAGCUGAAGGAGUGAUUAGGAUUAGAUACCCUAGUAAUUUCAGCCGUAAACGAUGAAAACUCACUGUCGAGCCAAUAUAUGGAGCGGUGGUCAAGCUAACGCGUGAAGUUUUCCGCCUGGGGAUUACGCUUGCAAAAGUGAAACUCAAAGGAAUUGACGGGGACCCGCACAAGCGGUGGAGUAUGUGGUUUAAUUCGAUGCAACGCGAAAAACCUUACCAGGGUUUGAAAUAAUUUCAAAACUUCUUGAAAGAGAAGCCUCCUUCGGGAUGGAAUUACAGGUGGUGCAUGGCUGUCGUCAGCUCGUGUUGUGAAAUGUCAAGUUAAGUCUUGUAACGAGCGCAACCCAUGUCUCUUGUUGCUGUUUACAGUGCUUAAGAGAAACUGCCGAUCAACAUCGGAGGAAGGUGUGGAUGAUGUCAAGUCAGCAUGCCCCUUACAUCCUGGGCUACACACGUACUACAAUGGUCGAGACAAAGGGUCGCUAACCUGCGAAGGUAUGCCAAUCUCAUAAACUCGAUCUCAGUUCGGAUUGUACUCUGCAACUCGAGUACAUGAAGGUGGAAUCGCUAGUAAUCGCUGGUCAGCAUACAGCGGUGAAUACGUUCCCGGGUCUUGUACACACUGCCCGUCACACCAUGGAAGUCGACCCUUCCCUAAGUCGUUACUCGAACCC
rnacentral:rRNA from 1 species